rnacentral:tRNA from 1 species
GCCGGCGUAGCUCAGGUGGUUAGAGCGAGCGUUUCAUAAGCGCUAGGUCCCAGGUUCAACUCCUGGCGCCGGCACCA